rnacentral:rRNA from 1 species
AUUGAACGCUGGCGGCAUGCCUUACACAUGCAAGUCGAACGGCAGCACGGGAGCAAUCCUGGUGGCGAGUGGCGAACGGGUGAGUAAAGUAUCGGAACGUGCCCAGUCGUGGGGGAUAACGUAGCGAAAGUUACGCUAAUACCGCAUACGAUCUAUGGAUGAAAGCGGGGGAUCGCAAGACCUCGCGCGAUUGGAGCGGCCGAUAUCAGAUUAGGUAGUUGGGGGGGUAAAGGCUCACCAAGCCGACGAUCUGUAGCUGGUCUGAGAGGACGACCAGCCACACUGGGAAGGAGACACGGCCCAGACCCCUACGGGAGGCAGCAGUGGGGAAUUUCGGACAAUGGGCGAAAGCCUGAUCCAGCCAUGCCGCGUGCAGGAUGAAGGCCUUCGGGUUGUAAACUGCUUUUGUACGGAACGAAAAGGUUUGGCCUAAUAAGCUGAGCUCAUGACGGUACCGUAAGAAUAAGCACCGGCUAACUACGUGCCAGCAGCCGCCGUAA